UACGAAGGGGGCAAGCGUUGUUCGGAAUUACUGGGCGUAAAGGGCGCGUAGGCGGCCGAUCAAGUCAGGCGUGAAAUUCCCGGGCUCAACCUGGGGGCUGCGCUUGAUACUGAUUGGCUUGAAUGCGGGAGAGGAUAGUGGAAUUCCCAGUGUAGAGGUGAAAUUCGUAGAUAUUGGGAAGAACACCAGUGGCGAAGGCGGCUAUCUGGCCCGUUAUUGACGCUGAGACGCGAAAGCGUGGGGAGCAAACAGG
rnacentral:rRNA from 1 species